UACAGAGGUCUCAAGCGUUGUUCGGAUUCAUUGGGCGUAAAGGGUGUGUAGGUGGCGCCGUAAGUCGGGUGUGAAAUUUCGGAGCUUAACUCCGAAACUGCAUUCGAUACUGCGGUGCUUGAGGACUGGAGAGGAGACUGGAAUUCAUGGUGUAGCAGUGAAAUGCGUAGAGAUGUGGAGGAACACCCAGUGGCGAAGGCGACUCUUUGGCCUGUAACUGACGCUGAGGCGCGAAAGCGUGGGGAGCAAACAGG
rnacentral:rRNA from 1 species